rnacentral:rRNA from 1 species
GAGCGGCGAACGGGUGAGUAACACGUGAGUAACCUGCCCCCGACUCUGGGAUAAGCCCGGGAAACUGGGUCUAAUACCGGAUAUGACACCUCCUCGCAUGGGGUGGGUGUGGAAAGUUUUUUCGGUUGGGGAUGGACUCGCGGCCUAUCAGCUUGUUGGUGGGGUAAUGGCCUACCAAGGCGACGACGGGUAGCCGGCCUGAGAGGGCGACCGGCCACACUGGGACUGAGACACGGCCCAGACUCCUACGGGAGGCAGCAGUGGGGAAUAUUGCGCAAUGGGCGAAAGCCUGACGCAGCGACGCCGCGUGGGGGAUGACGGCCUUCGGGUUGUAAACCUCUUUCAGCAGGGACGAAGUUGACGUGUACCUGCAGAAGAAGCGCCGGCUAACUACGUGCCAGCAGCCCGCGGUAAUACGUAGGGCGCAAGCGUUGUCCGGAAUUAUUGGGCGUAAAGAGCUCGUAGGUGGCUUGUCACGUCGGGUGUGAAAGCUUGGGGCUUAACUCCAGGUCUGCAUUCGAUACGGGCUGGCUAGAGGUAGGUAGGGGAGANCGGAAUUCCU